rnacentral:rRNA from 1 species
GUGGGGAAUCUUGCGCAAUGGACGAAAGUCUGACGCAGCCACGCCGCGUGAGUGAAGAAGGCCUUCGGGUUGUAAAGCUCUGUCGGAAGGGACGAACAUUGGAGUGGUUAACAGCCAUUUCAACUGACGGUACCUUUAGAGGAAGCACCGGCUAACUCCGUGCCAGCAGCCGCGGUAAUACGGAGGGUGCAAGCGUUGCUCGGAAUUAUUGGGCGUAAAGGGUAGGUAGGUGGUCUCAUUUGUCUUAUGUGAAAUCCCUGGGCUUAACUCAGGAAGUGCGUAAGAAACGGUGAGACUGGAGUACUGGAGAGGGUCGUGGAAUUCCCGGUGUAGCGGUGAAAUGCGUAGAGAUCGGGAGGAACACCAGAGGCGAAGGCGGCGACCUGGACAGUGACUGACACUCAACUACGAAAGCGUGGGGAGCAAACAGGAUUAGAUACCCGUGUAGUCC